GAUCCUAGCUCAGGAUGAACGCUGGCGGCGUGCCUAACACAUGCAAGUCGAGCGAAGCACUUUGCUUAGAUUCUUCGGAUGAAGAGGAUUGUGACUGAGCGGCGGACGGGUGAGUAACGCGUGGGUAACCUGCCUCAUACAGGGGGAUAACAGUUAGAAAUGACCGCUAAUACCGCAUAAGGCCACAGCACCGCAUGGUGCGGGGGUAAAAACUCCGGUGGUAUGAGAUGGACCCGCGU
rnacentral:rRNA from 1 species